AAGUCGUAACAAGGUUUCCGUAGGUGAACCUGCGGAAGGAUCAUUAAAGAGAUAGGGGUCUUCAUGGCCCCGACCUCCAACCCUCUGUUGUUAUAAACUACCUUGUUGCUUUGGCGGGACCGUCUCGGUCCCCGAGCGCACUAACCCCUCGGGGUUGGGUGAGCGCCCGCCAGAGUCCAAACCAAACUCUUGUAUUAAACCAGUCGUCUGAGUAAUAAAAAUUUUAAUUAAAUAAAA
rnacentral:misc_RNA from 1 species